rnacentral:lncRNA from 1 species
GUAUUACACUCACAUGCACACUGCAUGAAAGUAUGAAGGGCCAUUGCAAAAGAUUAUUAUGACGACAAUAUAGAACAACCCCUACACCUUACUACCCCCUUGGUUGGUCUGUCCAUCCUCUCUACUCUCCGUUGGUCUGGUCUGGUGUCCAUCCUCUCUACCCCCUUGGUCUGGUCUGUCCAUCCUCUCUACUCUACCCCUUGGUCUGGUCUGUCCAUCCCCUCUACUCUACCCCCUUGGUCUGGUCGUGUCCAUCCUCUCUACUCUACCCCCUUGGUCUGGUCUGUCCAUCCUCUCUACUCUACCCCUUGUCUGGUCUGGUCCAUCCUCUCUACUCUACUCCCUUGAUCUGGUCUGUCCAUCCUCUCUAUCUACUCCCUGGUCUGGUCUGUCCAUCCUCUCUACUCUACCCCUUGAUCUGGUCUGUCCUCCUCUCUAUACUACCCCUUGGUCUGGUCUGUCCAUCCUCUCUACUCUACUCUACUCCCUUGAUCUGGUCUCGUCCAUCCUCUCUACUCUACUCCUUGGUCUGGUCUGUCCAUCUCUGGCCUUACUGGGUGGAUAGGAACAUUAGCCUGCUGGCCUUACUGGGUGGAUAGGAACAUUAACAUCAGCCUGCUGGUCUUACUCGGUGGAUAGGAACAUUAGCGCUUGCCUUACUGGGUGGAUAGGAACCUAGCCUGCUGAUCUUACUGGGUGGAUAGGAACAUUAGCCUGCUGAUCUUACUAGGUGGAUAGGAACAUUAGCCUGCUGAUCUUACUGGGUGGAUAGGAACAUUAGCCUGCUGGCCUUACUGGGUGGAUAGGAACAUUAGCCCUGUGCCU